UACGUAGGGCGCAAGCGUUGUCCGGAAUUAUUGGGCGUAAAGGGCUCGUAGGUGGCCAACUAAGUCGGACGUGAAAUCCCUCAGCUUAACUGGGGAACUGCGUCCGAUACUGGAUGGCUUGAGUUUGGGAGAGGGAUGCGGAAUUCCAGGUGUAGCGGUGAAAUGCGUAGAUAUCGUAAGGAAGACCAGUGGCGAAGGCGGGUCUCUGGACAGUUCCUGACACUGAGACACGAAGGCCAGGGGAGCAAACGGG
rnacentral:rRNA from 1 species